rnacentral:rRNA from 1 species
UACGGGAGGCGGCAGUGGGGAAUAUUGCACAAUGGGCGAAAGCCUGAUGCAGCUAUGCCGCGUGUAUGAAGAAGGCCUUAGGGUUGUAAAGUACUUUCAUCGGGGAGGAAAAAACAAAACUAAUAAUUUUAUUUCUUGACGUUACCCGAAAAAGAAGCACCGGCUAACUCCGUGCCAGCAGCCGCGGUAAUACGGAGGGUGCUAGCGUUAAUCAGAAUUACUGGGCGUAAAGAGCACGUAGGUGGUUUUUUUAAAGUCAGAUGUGAAAUCCCUGGGCUUUAACCUAGGAACUGCAUUUUGAAACUGAAAUACUAGAGUAUCGUAGAGGGAGGUAGAAUUCUAGGUGUAGCGGUGAAAUGCGUAGAUAUCUGGAGGAAUACCUGUGGCGAAAGCGGCCUCCUAAACGAAUACUGACACUGAGGGUGCGAAAGCGUGGGGAGCAAACAGGGAUUAGAUACC